CACCAGGUUGAUUCUGCCUGACGUAGAUGCUCGUCUCGGAGAUUAAGCCAUGCAUGCCCGUGAACAAUAGGGAACGGCGAACGGCUCAGUAAUACUGCGACGAUCUGCUCCUGGCGGAAGAUAACCACGGGAAACUGUGGCUAAGAGCUGGGAUUGAGACGCAGCCCUAGCUAGUUGGUAGUGUAAGGGACUACCAAGGCGACGACGGGUGACGGGAGAUGGGGGUCUUAUUCCGGAGAGGGAGCCUGAGAGAUGGCUCCCACGUCCAAGGACGGCAGCAGGCGCGGAAAUUGCCCACUCUUUGGUGAGGAGGCAGUUACGAGACGUGUGUGAAAGGGCGUACUGCAAAGGCGUGCGCGAAGGCGAUUGGAGGGCAAGUUCGGUGCCAGCAGCCGCGG
rnacentral:rRNA from 1 species